AUAUGGCUAAAACUUCACAGAAUUGUUCAGAAAUGUGUACUGAAGGGAUACAAACUGCAAAAAAGGUGUAAUCUGACAUUAGCUGAUCUAAUAUGGGACAAGACCCCUUAAGAACCUUGAGAUGAGGAACACAGAUUUUUGACUCUCAUUAAAAAAUUAGUCAGUCAUGCAUAUGUGGGAGCUGUGAUUUUAAAAAUUGACAUAAAUGAACUAGGACUGGUGUUUUAUAGAGCUGAUGUGAUAUGAAAAAAAGUAAACUAAAAUAAACCUGAUCAAAAAAUUACAAAGGACAUAUUUUUUAAUGAUUUUUAUGAUCAGAAUUUUGGGAUUAUUUCCUGUGGAGAGUGACAUUUUUCACUAUCUUUCGGGGUUGGGCACUUGACGGGAAAACGAAUCACACUUGCCACCCCGAAAAUCGCACCACAUAUGUCCAAGUGUCUCAGCUUCAAAACGAGCUAUCAUGCAUAUCCAAGUUCACGAUAUGGCCUGAGCAACAGCAAAAACGUUAACAUUAUGUCCUAUGGAGAAUCUAAUGCGCAUAUAUUGACCCAUCUUGUCACCUUUAAUUUCAAAGGUGAUGGAGUGUUUCAUGGCUCAGUGACUACAAUAUUAGGAUGAAAGCUGCUGAAAUCAAGAGCUACUGCAGCACGAGACUUUUUACCCAUUGUGCAGCCAACAGCUUUUAGAGUUUUAACCACGGCAACAUCUCUAAUAUUAUUUACUUUCAAGACUGCUGCAGAAGCACGACCUAUGGCAUUGCGGGAGAAAUUCUUUUUUUUUGAUAUGGCUAAAACUUCACAGAAUUGUUCAGAAAUGUGUACUGAAGGGAUACAAACUGCAAAAAAGGUGUAAUCUGACAUUAGCUGAUCUAAUAUGGGACAAGACCCCUUAAGAACCUUGAGAUGAGGAACACAGAUUUUUGACUCUCAUUAAAAAAUUAGUCAGUCAUGCAUAUGUGGGAGCUGUGAUUUUAAAAAUUGACAUAAAUGAACUAGGACUGGUGUUUUAUAGAGCUGAUGUGAUAUGAAAAAAAGUGAACUAAAAUAAACCUGAUCAAAAAAUUACAAAGGACAUAUUUUUUAAUGAUUUUUAUGAUCAGAAUUUUGGGAUUAUUUCCUGUGGAGAGUGACAUUUUUCACUAUCUUUCGGGGUUGGGCACUUGACGGGAAAACGAAUCACACUUGCCACCCCGAAAAUCGCACCACAUAUGUCCAAGUGUCUCAGCUUCAAAACGAGCUAUCAUGCAUAUCCAAGUUCACGAUAUGGCCUGAGCAACAGCAAAAACGUUAACAUUAUGUCCUAUGGAGAAUCUAAUGCGCAUAUAUUGACCCAUCUUGUAACCUUUAAUUUCAAAGGUGAUGGAGUGUUUCAUGGCUCAGUGACUACAAUAUUAGGAUGAAAGCUGCUGAAAUCAAGAGCUACUGCAGCACGAGACUUUUUACCCAUUGUGCAGCCAACAGCUUUUAGAGUUUUAACCACGGCAACAUCUCUAAUAUUAUUUACUUUCAAGACUGCUGCAGAAGCACGACCUAUGGCAUUGCGGGAGAAAUUCUUUUUUUUUGAUAUGGCUAAAACUUCACAGAAUUGUUCAGAAAUGUGUACUGAAGGGAUACAAACUGCAAAAAAGGUGUAAUCUGACAUUAGCUGAUCUAAUAUGGGACAAGACCCCUUAAGAACCUUGAGAUGAGGAACACAGAUUUUUGACUCUCAUUAAAAAAUUAGUCAGUCAUGCAUAUGUGGGAGCUGUGAUUUUAAAAAUUGACAUAAAUGAACUAGGACUGGUGUUUUAUAGAGCUGAUGUGAUAUGAAAAAAAGUAAACUAAAAUAAACCUGAUCAAAAAAUUACAAAGGACAUAUUUUUUAAUGAUUUUUAUGAUCAGAAUUUUGGGAUUAUUUCCUGUGGAGAGUGACAUUUUUCACUAUCUUUCGGGGUUGGGCACUUGACGGGAAAACGAAUCACACUUGCCACCCCGAAAAUCGCACCACAUAUGUCCAAGUGUCUCAGCUUCAAAACGAGCUAUCAUGCAUAUCCAAGUUCACGAUAUGGCCUGAGCAACAGCAAAAACGUUAACAUUAUGUCCUAUGGAGAAUCUAAUGCGCAUAUAUUGACCCAUCUUGUAACCUUUAAUUUCAAAGGUGAUGGAGUGUUUCAUGGCUCAGUGACUACAAUAUUAGGAUGAAAGCUGCUGAAAUCAAGAGCUACUGCAGCACGAGACUUUUUACCCAUUGUGCAGCCAACAGCUUUUAGAGUUUUAACCACGGCAACAUCUCUAAUAUUAUUUACUUUCAAGACUGCUGCAGAAGCACGACCUAUGGCAUUGCGGGAGAAAUUCUUUUUUUUUGAUAUGGCUAAAACUUCACAGAAUUGUUCAGAAAUGUGUACUGAAGGGAUACAAACUGCAAAAAAGGUGUAAUCUGACAUUAGCUGAUCUAAUAUGGGACAAGACCCCUUAAGAACCUUGAGAUGAGGAACACAGAUUUUUGACUCUCAUUAAAAAAUUAGUCAGUCAUGCAUAUGUGGGAGCUGUGAUUUUAAAAAUUGACAUAAAUGAACUAGGACUGGUGUUUUAUAGAGCUGAUGUGAUAUGAAAAAAAGUAAACUAAAAUAAACCUGAUCAAAAAAUUACAAAGGACAUAUUUUUUAAUGAUUUUUAUGAUCAGAAUUUUGGGAUUAUUUCCUGUGGAGAGUGACAUUUUUCACUAUCUUUCGGGGUUGGGCACUUGACGGGAAAACGAAUCACACUUGCCACCCCGAAAAUCGCACCACAUAUGUCCAAGUGUCUCAGCUUCAAAACGAGCUAUCAUGCAUAUCCAAGUUCACGAUAUGGCCUGAGCAACAGCAAAAACGUUAACAUUAUGUCCUAUGGAGAAUCUAAUGCGCAUAUAUUGACCCAUCUUGUAACCUUUAAUUUCAAAGGUGAUGGAGUGUUUCAUGGCUCAGUGACUACAAUAUUAGGAUGAAAGCUGCUGAAAUCAAGAGCUACUGCAGCACGAGACUUUUUACCCAUUGUGCAGCCAACAGCUUUUAGAGUUUUAACCACGGCAACAUCUCUAAUAUUAUUUACUUUCAAGACUGCUGCAGAAGCACGACCUAUGGCAUUGCGGGAGAAAUUCUUUUUUUUUGAUAUGGCUAAAACUUCACAGAAUUGUUCAGAAAUGUGUACUGAAGGGAUACAAACUGCAAAAAAGGUGUAAUCUGACAUUAGCUGAUCUAAUAUGGGACAAGACCCCUUAAGAACCUUGAGAUGAGGAACACAGAUUUUUGACUCUCAUUAAAAAAUUAGUCAGUCAUGCAUAUGUGGGAGCUGUGAUUUUAAAAAUUGACAUAAAUGAACUAGGACUGGUGUUUUAUAGAGCUGAUGUGAUAUGAAAAAAAGUAAACUAAAAUAAACCUGAUCAAAAAAUUACAAAGGACAUAUUUUUUAAUGAUUUUUAUGAUCAGAAUUUUGGGAUUAUUUCCUGUGGAGAGUGACAUUUUUCACUAUCUUUCGGGGUUGGGCACUUGACGGGAAAACGAAUCACACUUGCCACCCCGAAAAUCGCACCACAUAUGUCCAAGUGUCUCAGCUUCAAAACGAGCUAUCAUGCAUAUCCAAGUUCACGAUAUGGCCUGAGCAACAGCAAAAACGUUAACAUUAUGUCCUAUGGAGAAUCUAAUGCGCAUAUAUUGACCCAUCUUGUAACCUUUAAUUUCAAAGGUGAUGGAGUGUUUCAUGGCUCAGUGACUACAAUAUUAGGAUGAAAGCUGCUGAAAUCAAGAGCUACUGCAGCACGAGACUUUUUACCCAUUGUGCAGCCAACAGCUUUUAGAGUUUUAACCACGGCAACAUCUCUAAUAUUAUUUACUUUCAAGACUGCUGCAGAAGCACGACCUAUGGCAUUGCGGGAGAAAUUCUUUUUUUUUGAUAUGGCUAAAACUUCACAGAAUUGUUCAGAAAUGUGUACUGAAGGGAUACAAACUGCAAAAAAGGUGUAAUCUGACAUUAGCUGAUCUAAUAUGGGACAAGACCCCUUAAGAACCUUGAGAUGAGGAACACAGAUUUUUGACUCUCAUUAAAAAAUUAGUCAGUCAUGCAUAUGUGGGAGCUGUGAUUUUAAAAAUUGACAUAAAUGAACUAGGACUGGUGUUUUAUAGAGCUGAUGUGAUAUGAAAAAAAGUAAACUAAAAUAAACCUGAUCAAAAAAUUACAAAGGACAUAUUUUUUAAUGAUUUUUAUGAUCAGAAUUUUGGGAUUAUUUCCUGUGGAGAGUGACAUUUUUCACUAUCUUUCGGGGUUGGGCACUUGACGGGAAAACGAAUCACACUUGCCACCCCGAAAAUCGCACCACAUAUGUCCAAGUGUCUCAGCUUCAAAACGAGCUAUCAUGCAUAUCCAAGUUCACGAUAUGGCCUGAGCAACAGCAAAAACGUUAACAUUAUGUCCUAUGGAGAAUCUAAUGCGCAUAUAUUGACCCAUCUUGUAACCUUUAAUUUCAAAGGUGAUGGAGUGUUUCAUGGCUCAGUGACUACAAUAUUAGGAUGAAAGCUGCUGAAAUCAAGAGCUACUGCAGCACGAGACUUUUUACCCAUUGUGCAGCCAACAGCUUUUAGAGUUUUAACCACGGCAACAUCUCUAAUAUUAUUUACUUUCAAGACUGCUGCAGAAGCACGACCUAUGGCAUUGCGGGAGAAAUUCUUUUUUUUUGAUAUGGCUAAAACUUCACAGAAUUGUUCAGAAAUGUGUACUGAAGGGAUACAAACUGCAAAAAAGGUGUAAUCUGACAUUAGCUGAUCUAAUAUGGGACAAGACCCCUUAAGAACCUUGAGAUGAGGAACACAGAUUUUUGACUCUCAUUAAAAAAUUAGUCAGUCAUGCAUAUGUGGGAGCUGUGAUUUUAAAAAUUGACAUAAAUGAACUAGGACUGGUGUUUUA